rfam:Micromonospora coxensis strain DSM 45161 genome assembly, chromosome: I
CUUGAUCGAACCGAGCAGCAGCGGCCGGUCGACGGGCCGGUCCUGCCCAUAGGUGGCGAGCAGUGCCUGCGCCUC